GCUAAGUCAUGAAUGAGCUUCCGAUGCUCUCUGUUCAUGGGUGGAAAGCAAUGACUCCUUUUAGGUUGUUUGCCCUGCAAAAUAAAAUCUACUGUGAAGUGAAGCAAAACACCACACAUUGAGUAUCCUAAACAUAAUAUUACAAAUAAAGUAUAUCUUCAUAAUGUGAAUAAAGUUGA